AUGAUGGAAGAUAAUGGACUCCAGCUUUUAGGAAUGUUAUAUAAGGAUCCAAUUUCAAGCUUUGGACUGUUCCAUAAAUUUGCUGUUGAGAAUCAGGAGGUCUACUGGAAAUUGGUGCCAGAGGAGCUCUCGAUGAAGUUCCUACGAGAACCAAAAUCAAUUCUAGAUGCAUCAGAUAUAUCAAUGGAGGAAGCAUGGUUCCCAGGACCUUCGCACUCAACUGAUGUAUGCAUCUGUUAUCAAACUGAGAGUAGGAGAUUGCCAACUAAACUUUGUACAAAAAAGUCAAGACCUUUGGGACAUUACCAAACGCUAUUGGACAAGAAGAUUGAUGGUUUUCAGCAAGUUAGCUGGUUAUUUACAAGUGUGUGGAGCAUCCAAAAUUCAAGUAAGAACACCAUGCUUCCUUGGUGUGUCCAUAAAUAUAUCUCCAUGCUGGAGCUGUCAGAUGAGUACGGGUCAAAUGAAGAAUGA
rnacentral:rRNA from 1 species